UCCUUUCACUCCCAGCUCCCCGGAGUCUCUCACGUAGAAUGUCCUUUCCACCCCCACCCACCCCGGGUGAACUCCUGCAGGUUCUGCAGGCCACGGCUGGCCCCCUCGAAAGUUCCUUAACUAUACAAUUAUGGUGUGUGUUUCUGCGACGAGCGUCCGUCUAUCCGGUGGAACGCACGCCGCUCUAGGCUUGCGAUGCUCCCGGGGUCCCCGCUUCUAGCUUGGGCCUGGCGCACAGCAGCGCCCAGACUGCAAGGGGACGCUUGAAACUUGCUGGAGGAGCCGGGGGGAAGGCAGCGCCCAGCGAGGCGGCCGGAGCGCGCGCCCACAGGUAGAACUGCAUGUCCACCUAGACGGAGCCAUCAAGCCUGAAACCAUCUUAUACUAUGGCAGGUAAGUCCAUAGAGAAGAGCCCUCUUUCCCUGGGAUUUGAGUGGGGUCCACAGCUCCACCCAGAGGCCCCUGGGGAAUUCCAGGGUCACUGUUCCUUCCUGUCUCCCUGUGGGAAUCAAGCCAGCUCCAGGCCAGAAGUGGGGCUGUGGGGACAUG
rnacentral:sRNA from 1 species